GAAGGAAGAAUCGUUAUGGAA
rnacentral:miRNA from 1 species